rnacentral:rRNA from 1 species
CCUACGGGUGGCAGCAGUGGGGAAUAUUGCACAAUGGGGGAAACCCUGAUGCAGCGACGCCGCGUGAGUGAAGAAGUAUUUCGGUAUGUAAAGCUCUAUCAGCAGGGAAGAAAAAAGCGGUUCCUUGAUAAAAAGCCCCCGCUAACUACGGUCCAGCAGCCGCCGGAAUACGUAGGGGGGAAGCGGUAACCGGGUUUACUGGGUGUAAAGGGAGCGUAGACGGCAGUGCAAGUCUGGAGGGAAAUGCCGGGGCUUAACCCCGGGACUGCUUUGGAAACUGUGCAGCUAGAGUGCAGGAGAGGUAAGUGGAAUUCCUAGUGUAGCGGUGAAAUGCGUAGAUAUUAGGAGGAACACCAGUGGCGAAGGCGGCUUACUGGACUGUAACUGACGUUGAGGCUCGAAAGCGUGGGGAGCAAACAGGAUUAGAUACCCUUGUAGUC